rnacentral:rRNA from 1 species
UUGUCUAAAGGAUUAAGCCAUGCAUGCGAAAGUAUAGACUUGUUUAGAAGUUGAAACUGCGAACGGCUCCUUAAAACAGUUAUAAUCUACUUGGAAUAAUUUUAUAAGGAUACCUACGGAAACGCUGUAGCUAAUACUUGACAUUUUUCCAUUAAUUUUAAUGGGAUGUAUUCGUUGGCUUAGCGGUAUCGUGUAUUCUUGUGGAAUCACAACGAAGAAGUGACGCGUCUGCCUUUUUUAGGUGGUUAGCGCGUACCAAUCGAGUUUCUGAUCUAUCAGCUUGUCACGAAGGUAUUGUCUUGGUGAGGCUAUGACGGAUAACGGGGAAUUAGAGUUCGAUUCCGGAGAGGGCGCCUGAGAGAUGGCGACUAUAACUACGGUUAGCAGCAGGCGCGAAAAUUGCCCAAUGCCGACAAGGCGAGGCAGCGACCAGACAUACUGAUUCUCGGCCGUUUUACGGUUGAGAAAUCGGAUUCGGUCUUCUGUAAAACUGAAGACGAGAGGAAGUUUAGAUCAAGUUGAAGUGCCAGCAUUCGCGGUAAUACUUCCUUAAACGAAUGUAUGUUAAAGUUGUUGCGGUUAAAACGCUCGUAGUUGAUUAUCAUUCACAAGUUCGUUUAAUUGUUCAAUUUAUUUUGAACGGAUAAACCUUGUGAAUUGGCAUUGUUUUAUUUUUUUAAAAUAGAACGUGUCGUUACCUUGAGUAAAUUAGAGUGUUCAAAGCGGGCUUCUCCGUUUGAAUAUCCCAGCAUGGAAUAACUGCAUUGCGCCUGGUUUGUCUUUUGCGAUAUCGCACAAGCUAGGUGCCGAUUAAUAGGAGCAGUUGGGGGCAUCCGUACUCCGGAGCUAGAGGUGAAAUUCUGUGACUUCCGGAUGACGAACAACUGCGAAGGCACUUGCCCAAAAUGCGUCCAUUAAUCAAGAGCGAAGUUAUGGGUAUCGAAAAAGAUCAGAGACCUUUGUAAUCCAUAAAGUAAACUAUGCCAUCCGGGGCGGAGUUAACCACUUUGACGUUCCGGCGUUAGCGCUAUUUUCAUUUUAUGAUUUUGGUGCUUUCGUCGUCGUCGCUUAGGGUUCGUUCUGCCCCCGUGAGAAAUCCGAGAUUUUGGGUUCCGGGGCGAGUAUAAGCGCAAGCUAGAAAGUUAAAAGAAUUGACGGAGGGGCACCACAAAGCGUGGAGCUUGCGGCUUAAUUUGACUCAACACGGGAAACCUCACUAGUGUAAGACAGCGGGAGGAUUGACAGGUUUGCAGACCUUUCUUGAUCCGCUGGCGGGUGAUGCAUGGCCGUUCCUAGCUCUUGGCGUGGGCUGUCUGGUUAAUUCCGAUAACGAGCGGGACCUCCCCCUUCAUUUGUCCGGCUCUCAUUAAACCAAAGUGAUGGACUUGAUACGUUUUUUCUUUUGUACUUCGGUAUAAUUGAUAUAAACGUAGAAAGAAAAUUGCUUUGAGAGUCUUUACUGGUAACAUGGAGGGACGUCGCGUGUUUAACGCGAGGCAGGGAGGCAACAACAGGUCUGUGAUGUCCUCAGAUAUGCUAGGCUGCACGCGUGCUACACUGGCGCGCGCAUCGGGCGUAUAAAUAAAAAUCUGCAAAUUUAUUUGUUUGAUUUUGUUUCCUCUCUCGACAGAGCGGGGGAAUCCUGAAUGCGCGCCGUGACGGGGAUCGAAUCUUGCAAUUAGGAUUCUUGAACGAGGAAUGCUUAGUAAGCGCAACUCAUCAGGUUGCGCUGUAUGCGUAACUGCCCUUUGCACACACCGCCCGUCGUUGCUUUUAAUGAAGUGCCAAGUGACUUGUGCAGAGUGUUCGUUUGGAUUUCCUUACAAAUGCGAAGUACUGGGAACUUUGUACUUUAGAGAAAG